rnacentral:rRNA from 1 species
AUUGAACGCUGGCGGCAGGCCUAACACAUGCAAGUCGAACGGUAACAGGAAGCAGCUUGCUGCUUUGCUGACGAGUGGCGGACGGGUGAGUAAUGUCUGGGAAACUGCCUGAUGGAGGGGGAUAACUACUGGAAACGGUAGCUAAUACCGCAUAACGUCGCAAGACCAAAGAGGGGGACCUUAGGGCCUCUUGCCAUCGGAUGUGCCCAGAUGGGAUUAGCUAGUAGGUGGGGUAACGGCUCACCUAGGCGACGAUCCCUAGCUGGUCUGAGAGGAUGACCAGCCACACUGGAACUGAGACACGGUCCAGACUCCUGCGGGAGGCAGCAGUGGGGAAUAUUGCACAAUGGGCGCAAGCCUGAUGCAGCCAUGCCGCGUGUAUGAAGAAGGCCUUCGGGUUGUAAAGUACUUUCAGCGGGGAGGAAGGGAGUAAAGUUAAUACCUUUGCUCAUUGACGUUACCCGCAGAAGAAGCACCGGCUAACUCCGUG